rfam:Lactobacillus vini DSM 20605 Scaffold140, whole genome shotgun sequence.
AAACUAGUCAGUGAUGGCUAGCUGAAUCCGGUAGGAGUCAGCCGAGGUCAUAGUAAUCUGCCGUAUGACAGAUGAAGGAC